AUUGAACGCUGGCGGAAUGCUUUACACAUGCAAGUCGAACGGCAGCACGGACUUCGGUCUGGUGGCGAGUGGCGAACGGGUGAGUAAUGUAUCGGAACGUGCCCAGUCGUGGGGGAUAACGGCGGGAAAAUUACGCUAAUACCGCAUACGAUCUAUGGAUGAAAGCGGGGGAUCGCAAGACCUCGCGCGAUUGGAGCGGCCGAUAUCAGAUUAGGUAGUUGGUGGGGUAAAGGCCCACCAAGCCAACGAUCUGUAGCUGGUCUGAGAGGACGACCAGCCACACUGGAACGGAGACACGGUACAGACUCCUACGGGAGGCAGCAGUGGGGAAUUUUGGACAAUGGGCGAAAGCCUGAUCCAGCCAUUCCGCGUGCAGGAUGAAGGCCCUCGGGUUGUAAACUGCUUUUGUACAGAACGAAAAGGUUUCUACUAAUACUAGGAGCUCAUGACGGUACUGUAAGAAUAAGCACCGGCUAACUACGUGCCAGCCGCCGCGGUAA
rnacentral:rRNA from 1 species